rnacentral:misc_RNA from 1 species
CUAUCACGUGCUUGGAACCUUAGUAGUUUGAAAACGUGCUGAAUAUGAUCUGAAAAACAAUUAUGGCACCUCUCAGCCAGGUUCCUUUUUUAUUUUCAAGUCCACAGUUGUCCUUGUUUCAUUUGAUCUUCGUUGUCUAUAUUCAAAAAUAGUCAAAUAAGUUUUUGUAUUCUAUCUUUUUGCAUGCCUUCUUAGUUUGCAUACUUUUGAUACUUUAUAAUAGAUGGGAAAUAACUAUAAUGAACUUAUUCUUGUUUCCUGUAAAACACACUUAAUAUUUAUGGGUGUAUGAAUUAUGAUGGUUGUCAUUAUUGAUUAGCUAGUAAGGUAGUUUUCUCAACCAUUGUCAUGUACAGUUUAUCAUGCUUUGGUUUGGGAUUGAUGAAUAGUUGUUGAAUUGAGACUACUGUCAACAUGCUUUUUGAUGUAUAAAUCGUGUUGCAGCUUAUUUUAUUGAAUCUCUAAUAUUUUGACUCCCAAUGUGUGUUUUCAGGCGAAGUUCGAAUUGGAAUUAUAACAUUUGAUAUGUUGA